GAUGAACGCUGGCGGCGUGCCUAAUACAUGCAAGUCGAGCGAACGGACGAGAAGCUUGCUUCUCUGAUGUUAGCGGCGGACGGGUGAGUAACACGUGGAUAACCUACCUAUAAGACUGGGAUAACUUCGGGAAACCGUAGCUAAUACCGGAUAAUAUUUUGAACCGCAUGGUUCAAAAGUGAAAGACGGUCUUGCUGUCACUUAUAGAUGGAUCCGCGCUGCAUUAGCUAGUUGGUAAGGUAACGGCUUACCAAGGCAACGAUGCAUAGCCGACCUGAGAGGGUGAUUGGCCACACUGGAACUGAGACACGGUCCAGACUCCUACGGGAGGCAGCAGUAGGGAAUCUUCCGCAAUGGGCGAAAGCCUGACGGAGCAACGCCGCGUGAGUGAUGAAGGUCUUCGGAUCGUAAAACUCUGUUAUUAGGGAAGAACAUAUGUGUAAGUAACUGUGCACAUCUUGACGGUACCUAAUCAGAAAGCCACGGCUAACUACGUG
rnacentral:rRNA from 1 species